AUUGAACGCUGGCGGCAUGCCUUACACAUGCAAGUCGAACGGCAGCACGGGAGCAAUCCUGGUGGCGAGUGGCGAACGGGUGAGUAAUAUAUCGGAACGUGCCCAGUCGUGGGGGAUAACGCAGCGAAAGCUGUGCUAAUACCGCAUACGAUCUACGGAUGAAAGCGGGGGAUCGCAAGACCUCGCGCGAUUGGAGCGGCCGAUAUCAGAUUAGCUAGUUGGUGAGGUAAAGGCUCACCAAGGCGACGAUCUGUAGCUGGUCUGAGAGGACGACCAGCCACACUGGAACUGAGACACGGUCCAGACUCCUACGGGAGGCAGCAGUGGGGAAUUUUGGACAAUGGGCGCAAGCCUGAUCCAGCAAUGCCGCGUGCAGGAUGAAGGCCUUCGGGUUGUAACUAGCUUUGUUACGGUAGCGAAACGGUACUGCCCUAACUACGGUAGGGCGUAAUGACGGUACCGUAAGAAUAAGACACCGGCUAACUACG
rnacentral:rRNA from 1 species